rnacentral:rRNA from 1 species
UUAAGUUAGAAAGGGCGCACGGUGGAUGCCUUGACACUAGGAGUCGAUGAAGGACGGGACUAACGCCGAUAUGCUUCGGGGAGCUGUAAGUAAGCUUUGAUCCGAAGAUUUCCGAAUGGGGAAACCCACCAUACGUAAUGGUAUGGUAUCCUUAUCCGAAUACAUAGGGUAAGGAAGACAGACCCAGGGAACUGAAACAUCUAAGUACCUGGAGGAAGAGAAAGCAAAUGCGAUUUCCUGAGUAGCGGCGAGCGAAACGGAACAUAGCCCAAACCAAGAGGCUUGCCUCUUGGGGUUGUAGGACAUUCUAUACGGAGUUACAAAGGAACGAGGUAGACGAAGCGACCUGGAAAGGUCCGUCGUAGAGGGUAACAACCCCGUAGUCGAAACUUCGUUCUCUCUUGAAUGUAUCCUGAGUACGGCGGAACACGUGAAAUUCCGUCGGAAUCUGGGAGGACCAUCUCCCAAGGCUAAAUACUCCCUAGUGAUCGAUAGUGAACCAGUACCGUGAGGGAAAGGUGAAAAGCACCCCGGAAGGGGAGUGAAAGAGAUCCUGAAACCGUGUGCCUACAAAUAGUCAGAGCCCGUUAACGGGUGAUGGCGUGCCUUUUGUAGAAUGAACCGGCGAGUUACGAUCCCGUGCGAGGUUAAGCUGAAGAGGCGGAGCCGCAGCGAAAGCGAGUCUGAAUAGGGCGUUUAGUACGUGGUCGUAGACCCGAAACCAGGUGAUCUACCCAUGUCCAGGGUGAAGUUCAGGUAACACUGAAUGGAGGCCCGAACCCACGCACGUUGAAAAGUGCGGGGAUGAGGUGUGGGUAGCGGAGAAAUUCCAAUCGAACCUGGAGAUAGCUGGUUCUCCCCGAAAUAGCUUUAGGGCUAGCCUUAAGUGUAAGAGUCUUGGAGGUAGAGCACUGAUUGGACUAGGGGUCCUCAUCGGAUUACCGAAUUCAGUCAAACUCCGAAUGCCAAUGACUUAUCCUUAGGAGUCAGACUGCGAGUGAUAAGAUCCGUAGUCAAAAGGGAAACAGCCCAGACCGCCAGCUAAGGUCCCAAAGUGUGUAUUAAGUGGAAAAGGAUGUGGAGUUGCUUAGACAACUAGGAUGUUGGCUUAGAAGCAGCCACCAUUUAAAGAGUGCGUAAUAGCUCACUAGUCGAGUGACUCUGCGCCGAAAAUGUACCGGGGCUAAAUACACCACCGAAGCUGCGGAUUGAUACCAAUGGUAUCAGUGGUAGGGGAGCGUUCUAAGGACAGUGAAGUCAGACCGGAAGGACUGGUGGAGUGCUUAGAAGUGAGAAUGCCGGUAUGAGUAGCGAAAGACGGGUGAGAAUCCCGUCCACCGAAUGCCUAAGGUUUCCUGAGGAAGGCUCGUCCGCUCAGGGUUAGUCAGGACCUAAGCCGAGGCCGACAGGCGUAGGCGAUGGACAACAGGUUGAUAUUCCUGUACCACCUCUUUAUCGUUUGAGCAAUGGAGGGACGCAGAAGGAUAGAAGAAGCGUGCGAUUGGUUGUGCACGUCCAAGCAGUUAGGCUGAUAAGUAGGCAAAUCCGCUUAUCGCAAAGGCUGAGCUGUGAUGGGGAAGCUCCUUAUGGAGCGAAGUCUUUGAUUCCCCGCUGCCAAGAAAAGCUUCUAGCGAGAUAAAAGGUGCCUGUACCGCAAACCGACACAGGUAGGCGAGGAGAGAAUCCUAAGGUGUGCGAGAGAACUCUGGUUAAGGAACUCGGCAAAAUGACCCCGUAACUUCGGGAGAAGGGGUGCUUUCUUAACGGAAAGCCGCAGUGAAUAGGCCCAAGCGACUGUUUAGCAAAAACACAGCUCUCUGCGAAGCCGUAAGGCGAAGUAUAGGGGGUGACACCUGCCCGGUGCUGGAAGGUUAAGGAGAGGGGUUAGCGUAAGCGAAGCUCUGAACUGAAGCCCCAGUAAACGGCGGCCGUAACUAUAACGGUCCUAAGGUAGCGAAAUUCCUUGUCGGGUAAGUUCCGACCCGCACGAAAGGUGUAACGAUUUGGGCACUGUCUCAACCAGAGACUCGGUGAAAUUAUAGUACCUGUGAAGAUGCAGGUUACCCGCGACAGGACGGAAAGACCCCGUGGAGCUUUACUGUAGCCUGAUAUUGAAUUUUGGUACAGUUUGUACAGGAUAGGCGGGAGCCAUUGAAACCGGAGCGCUAGCUUCGGUGGAGGCGCUGGUGGGAUACCGCCCUGACUGUAUUGAAAUUCUAACCUACGGGUCUUAUCGACCCGGGAGACAGUGUCAGGUGGGCAGUUUGACUGGGGCGGUCGCCUCCUAAAGUGUAACGGAGGCGCCCAAAGGUUCCCUCAGAAUGGUUGGAAAUCAUUCGUAGAGUGCAAAGGCAUAAGGGAGCUUGACUGCGAGACCUACAAGUCGAGCAGGGACGAAAGUCGGGCUUAGUGAUCCGGUGGUUCCGCAUGGAAGGGCCAUCGCUCAACGGAUAAAAGCUACCCCGGGGAUAACAGGCUUAUCUCCCCCAAGAGUCCACAUCGACGGGGAGGUUUGGCACCUCGAUGUCGGCUCAUCGCAUCCUGGGGCUGUAGUCGGUCCCAAGGGUUGGGCUGUUCGCCCAUUAAAGCGGUACGCGAGCUGGGUUCAGAACGUCGUGAGACAGUUCGGUCCCUAUCCGUCGUGGGCGUAGGAAAUUUGAGAGGAGCUGUCCUUAGUACGAGAGGACCGGGAUGGACGCACCGCUGGUGUACCAGUUGUUCUGCCAAGGGCAUAGCUGGGUAGCUAUGUGCGGAAGGGAUAAGUGCUGAAAGCAUCUAAGCAUGAAGCCCCCCUCAAGAUGAGAUUUCCCAUAGCGUAAGCUAGUAAGAUCCCUGAAAGAUGAUCAGGUUGAUAGGUUCGAGGUGGAAGCAUGGUGACAUGUGGAGCUGACGAAUACUAAUAGAUCGAGGACUUAACCAU